rnacentral:rRNA from 1 species
UACGUAGGGUCCGAGCGUUGUCCGGAAUUACUGGGCGUAAAGAGCUCGUAGGUGGUUUGUCGCGUUGUCCGUGAAAACUCACAGCUCAACUGUGGGCGUGCGGGCGAUACGGGCAGACUGGAGUACUGCAGGGGAGACUGGAAUUCCUGGUGUAGCGGUGGAAUGCGCAGAUAUCAGGAGGAACACCGGUGGCGAAGGCGGGUCUCUGGGCAGUUCCUGACGCUGAAGCACGGAAGGCCAGGGGAGCAAACGGG